rnacentral:rRNA from 1 species
GGCGUGCCUAAUACAUGCAAGUCGAGCGAACAGACGAGGAGCUUGCUCCUUUGACGUUAGCGGCGGACGGGUGAGUAACACGUGGAUAACCUACCUAUAAGACUGGGAUAACUUCGGGAAACCGGAGCUAAUACCGGAUAACAUGUUGAACCGCAUGGUUCAACAGUGAAAGACGGUCUUGCUGUCACUUAUAGAUGGAUCCGCGCCGCAUUAGCUAGUUGGUAAGGUAACGGCUUACCAAGGCAACGAUGCGUAGCCGACCUGAGAGGGUGAUCGGCCACACUGGAACUGAGACACGGUCCAGACUCCUACGGGAGGCAGCAGUAGGGAAUCUUCCGCAAUGGGCGAAAGCCUGACGGAGCAACGCCGCGUGAGUGAAGAAGGUCUUCGGAUCGUAAAACUCUGUUAUUAGGGAAGAACAAAUGUGUAAGUAACUAUGCACGUCUUGACGGUACCUAAUCAGAAAGCCACGGCUAACUACGUGCCAGCAGCCGCGGUAAUACGUAGGUGGCAAGCGUUAUCCGGAAUUAUUGGGCGUAAAGCGCGCGUAGGCGGUUUUUUAAGUCUGAUGUGAAAGCCCACGGCUCAACCGUGGAGGGUCAUUGGAAACUGGAAAACUUGAGUGCAGAAGAGGAAAGUGGAAUUCCAUGUGUAGCGGUGAAAUGCGCAGAGAUAUGGAGGAACACCAGUGGCGAAGGCGACUUUCUGGUCUGUAACUGACGCUGAUGUGCGAAAGCGUGGGGAUCAAACAGGAUUAGAUACCCUGGUAGUCCACGCCGUAAACGAUGAGUGCUAAGUGUUAGGGGGUUUCCGCCCCUUAGUGCUGCAGCUAACGCAUUAAGCACUCCGCCUGGGGAGUACGACCGCAAGGUUGAAACUCAAAGGAAUUGACGGGGACCCGCACAAGCGGUGGAGCAUGUGGUUUAAUUCGAAGCAACGCGAAGAACCUUACCAAAUCUUGACAUCCUCUGACCCCUCUAGAGAUAGAGUUUUCCCCUUCGGGGGACAGAGUGACAGGUGGUGCAUGGUUGUCGUCAGCUCGUGUCGUGAGAUGUUGGGUUAAGUCCCGCAACGAGCGCAACCCUUAAGCUUAGUUGCCAUCAUUAAGUUGGGCACUCUAAGUUGACUGCCGGUGACAAACCGGAGGAAGGUGGGGAUGACGUCAAAUCAUCAUGCCCCUUAUGAUUUGGGCUACACACGUGCUACAAUGGACAAUACAAAGGGUAGCGAAACCGCGAGGUCAAGCAAAUCCCAUAAAGUUGUUCUCAGUUCGGAUUGUAGUCUGCAACUCGACUACAUGAAGCUGGAAUCGCUAGUAAUCGUGGAUCAGCAUGCUACGGUGAAUACGUUCCCGGGUCUUGUACACACCGCCCGUCACACCACGAGAGUUUGUAACACCCGAAGCCGGUGGAGUAACCUUUUGGAGCUAGCCGUCGAAGGUGGGACAAAUGAUUGGGGUGAAGUAAU